rnacentral:rRNA from 5 species
GACGAACGCUGGCGGCGUGCCUAACACAUGCAAGUCGAGCGGUCCGGCACUCAACUAAGUGCUUACUUAAGGGGAAGGAAGUAUAGUAGAAGAAGAAAGUAAUAAAAGUGGUGCAAAGUAAGGUAAGCACGGAGUUGAGUGCCGGAUAGCGGCGGACGGGUGAGUAACGCGUGGGCAACCUACCCUUAAGACCGGGAUAACACCUCGAAAGGGGUGCUAAUACUGGAUAAGCUCCUUGUAGGGCAUCCUAUGGGGAGGGAAGGUAGCGGAAGCUACCGCUUAAGGAUGGGCCCGCGUCCCAUCAGCUAGUUGGUAGGGUAACGGCCUACCAAGGCGACGACGGGUAGCCGGCCUGAGAGGGUGGUCGGCCACACUGGGACUGAGACACGGCCCAGACUCCUACGGGAGGCAGCAGUGGGGAAUCUUGCGCAAUGGGCGAAAGCCUGACGCAGCGACGCCGCGUGAGCGAAGAAGGCC